UACGUAGGGUGCGAGCGUUUAAUCGGAAUUACUGGGCGUAAAGCGUGCGCAGGCGGUGAGCUGUGUCCGAUGUGAAAGCCCCGGGCUUAACCUGGGAAUGGCAUUGGAAACUGGCUCGCUGGAGUGUGGCAGAGGGGGGUGGAAUUCCGCGUGUAGCAGUGAAAUGCGUAGAGAUGCGGAGGAACACCGAUGGCGAAGGCAGCCCCCUGGGCUAACACUGACGCCUCAGGCACGAAAGCGUGGGGAGCAAACAGG
rnacentral:rRNA from 1 species